AGCACGUUGUGUACGUCACUGGCUGUAACCGUGGUGAGUUCUGCUCCUCUAAACAGGUCAAAGAGGCUAUAAACAUGUCGACCCUCUACUUACCCCGCUCUGCAUGGCUUAUACUGGAAGGUGUGAAGCCCCAUUUGAAAAAUACAACUGCCAUGGAUCCCCAUGUUGUGCGCUGGUAUCGUUCUUUUGGUUUGUUGUUGUACGUCAUCCCGAAUAUAUGAGGAGGAGCGGGUGGAAGAAGAAAAACAGGAAGUAAUUUACAUAUAUGAAGUAUAUUUUCAACCUCCUUACAGAGUGUACUGCUCAAGAAAUCCACCUCCAUACAGGCUUGACCCCCCACCGGCAUACACAGAUGCUCCAGAUUACUCAGAGCAACCCUAAUCUUCCUCAUCUUCCUCUUCCUCCACUUCAGACACCGGUCCUCGUUAUCCCAGGGACCGACUCUUUGGAAUCAAAUAAGAGUCAAUACGAGGCCGACAUUGUGAAAUGAGGUUCAGAAAUUAUUUCAAAACAUGUGGUUGUGAAUCAGCUUUCGUAAAGCUGUCUGCAUGGGAAAUUAAAGAUUUUGUAGAAGAAAAAAUAAGAAUUUCAGCCCUACUUUUCCACUGAAAUCAGGGCCAAGAUUUGCAAUUUUGAUUCACCUUUAUUAAAUGCCCUUUCUGCUUUGAACCCAGAAUGUAACAGAAACUUCAGUUGAUAUUUCUCAAUUUAUCUCUUCUGAAACAUUAUGCAAAGUUUGCAAAACUUUACAAACUAUGUUUUUUUUUUCUCAACAAAAUCUAAAUCUUUUUGACCCUAGUAACCUGUAAUGCUAUUUAUUUGGGAUAAUCUGCUUGAUGGAAAGCUGAAUCUUUUUAUGAUGCAACUCGUGAAUUUUCCAGAACAAUCCAGGUAAAACUCGCCCAUAUGUGCAAUAUGUAUGUUCUGUCUAAAGAGGUACAAUAUUUGA